CCAGCACCUGCGGUAAUUCCAGCUCCAGAAGCGUAUAUUAAUGUUGUUGCAGUUAAAACGCUCGUAGUUGGAUCUUGGGAGUUUAGGUUUAGAGCUCUGUCCGCCUGAAGGCGAGUACGGACUCUCCUCUCCUGUAUUUGGUGAUAGUAUACUCGGGGCCUUAAUUGGUUGUUGAGUUUGCUGGAGCGUGUAAAAGCGCAAAGGCAGGGGGCGCGGGCUUUGCUCGCGGUCAAUAUUACACCUCAUUUACUUUGAAAAAAAUAGAGUGCUCAAAGCAGACCUUAGGGUCAUUGAAUAAUUCAGCAUGGGAUAAUAGAAUAUGAGAUUGAAUUCAUUUUGUUGGUAUUUUGAAUUUAAACUAAUGAUUAAAAGGGACCGUCGGGGUGGUUUGUAUUUUUGA
rnacentral:rRNA from 1 species